UGGUAUAACAUGUAAAUUCCAUCACCCUCAACCUGCUGGUAUGUCUGUGCCAGCACCUGCACGUCCAUUUUAUCCGACGGUGCAGUCUCUUCCUGCUCCUCCUGAGGAAUGUAACAGUGCAUUAACUGGUCUUAGAGUAGCAAGGCCUCCUAUUUUACCUGGUUCAUAUGUACCUAGUGCUUAUGGUCCAGUGUUGCUUCAUCCAGGAGUGGUUACCAUUCAGAACUGGAGUCCUUACUCAGGACCAGUAAGUCCUGCACUAUCUCCUGGUGUUCAUCCCUCUGCUGGGCUGACAUCUGUCUAUGGGAUGUCACAGCUAGCAUCUUCUCCACAUGCCUUUGCAGGGCCUUACUCGCCAUUACCCCCUGCUGCUAGCCCUUCAAGCAAAACACAGAAGGGAAAGAGUUUUCCAGAGAGACCUGGUCAAUCCAUAUGUCA
rnacentral:misc_RNA from 1 species